rnacentral:rRNA from 1 species
GGCCACGCCUGUCUGAGGGUCGGUU